CCCCAGUCCACCUCCUUGCCUCACCCCCAACCCACGAAGCUCAUGCAACCUCCACGGCUCACUCAAGGCCCUCUCGGGCCACCAUGCUUUUGCAUAUGCUGUCCCUGGUCCCGGAAGCACCCUCUGCCAGCCUGCCCCCAGCACACGCCUAAUCGCCCUUCCAUGCUCUGCCAAAGUGUCGCUCCUCUGGGAGUCCUCCCUGCCCAGAAUAUUGUUGGAUGCUCCCCCCAUGCCCCCACGGAGUCUGUACGUAUCUGUGCCAUGCCAGUUCACAGCACCCCAUUGUAACUGUUUGCGUGUCUGUCCCUGUCACUCCACCCCCAUCUCCCUAUGCCCAUUAGGCCCCAGAGGGCUGGGACUGUGGGUUGUUCAUUUGCACAGUGCCUGGCACUCACUAGGGACUCGAAGAAUGAAUGAAUGUGGAAUGUGGUUUACACAGCCAGGGAGAAUGGGAUACCAGCCAGGGCAAGAACAGUCUACUGGGUGGGGCAGGAUCCAGGACAAGGAGGUGAGCAGCCCUUCCUCUGGCCACUCAAGUAGUGGGAACUGGGAGGAGGGGCGCUUUGUCUAUGCAGUCUUCUUAUGGCUCAUCACCAUACCAGGACAGGGGCACCCUGCCCCCCUGGCCCACGGCUGGACUUCAGAGACUGGCUCGGAGCCCCCAGGGAACAUUUGCAGGGCCAGCCCCCAACUUUGGGCCCCUUGGGCCUGGCCGCUGGCCCCUGGCCUUCCUGGGUGAAAUAUGGCACUGGAAGUAAUGCUCUUGGCUGUGGGAGCUACAGAAAGCAAUGAGGUCUCUAUCAAACCCAGCCUCCUCUCUCUCGAGAGGAACCAGUGGGGAUACCCUACCCCUCAGCCCCAAAGCCCUGUGCACCUGAGGGUAAAAAUCUGGGUGCCACGGGCUCAGGAAGGCUUGCUUGGGAGCAAGAGGGAGGUGGAUGUGUCUGGGGAGGCAUUUCUGAGCACAAGAGCCUCCCUGGAGUUCUGCCAUCGUCUCUCCCCAUUCUGUGGUGCCCGCAAUAACCACCGUUCUGACUCUCCUCACCCCUCCAGCCUCCCAGCGUGCGGCCUGCCAACCCCGCUCCCAUUACCCAGACAGUCAUCCACACGGUGCAGAGUGCCUCUGGACAGAUGUUCUCUACUCCCGCCAUCCUACCUAUGAUGUACCCCCACCCUGCCUAUCCGAUGCCUUUCAUCACCACCAUUCCGGGAGGGCUGUACCCAUCCAAGUCCAUCAUCCUGUCAGGCACUGUCCUGCCCAGUGCUCAGAGGUUCCACAUCAACCUGUGCUCUGGGAGCCACAUCGCCUUCCACAUGAACCCCCGUUUUGAUGAGAAUGCUGUGGUCCGUAACACCCAGAUCAACAACUCUUGGGGGUCUGAGGAGCGAAGUCUGCCCCGAAAAAUGCCCUUCGUCCGAGGCCAGAGCUUCUCGGUGUGGAUCUUGUGUGAAGCUCACUGCCUCAAGGUGGCCGUGGAUGGUCAGCACGUGUUUGAAUACUACCAUCGCCUGAGGAACCUGCCCACCAUCAACAAACUGGAAGUGGGUGGCGACAUCCAGCUGACCCACGUGCAGACAUAGGCGGCUCCCUGGCCCUGGGGCCGGGGGCUGGGGUGUGGGGCAGUCUGGGUCCUCUCAUCAUCCCCACUUCCCAGGCCCAGCCUUUCCAACCGUGCCUGGGAUCUGGGCUUUAAUGCAGAGGCCAUGUCCUUUUCUGGUCCUGCUUCUGGCUACAGCCACCCUGGAAUCGAGAAGGCAGCUGACUGGGAUUGCCUUCCUCAGCCGCAGCAGCACCUGGGGCGCCAGCUGCUGGAAUCCUACAAUCCCAGAAGGCGGGCA
rnacentral:sRNA from 1 species